GAUAUUGCGAUCAAUAUUUGAUGAAACAGGUUUAGUGAUCAAUAUUUUGUGCAUCACUACAACAAACGAAAACAGCAAUCGAUAUGGCGAAUCCUUUGACGCUUAUUCUUGGAGUAGUCCUCGAACUGGUGAAAAUUGUCCUAAUGUUAGUCUGGCGUCCAGUGAAGGGAGUACUCGGAAACCUCGUGCCAUCAUUGCGGACAUUAAAACGGUGAAAACGAAGUGAAUAGACUGGAUUUUCCGCUCAUACUGAAAUAUAUAGACAUGUCUAUUACUAUAAUGAUAAAACAUCGAACCAAUUAGAAUUUGAAUGUAAAUUUCAUUUUCGAAUUUCUCAUCGUCAUAUUUGGAGACAUGUACAAUAAAUGGAAUAAUCAAAUCUUA